rnacentral:rRNA from 15 species
CGUGCAAAUCGAUCGUCAAAUUUGUGCAUGGGGGCGAAAGACCAAUCGAACCUUCUAGUAGCUGGUUCCUGCCGAAGUUUCCCUCAGGAUAGCAGAGUUGAUCCUCAGUUUCAUGAGGUAAAGCGAAUGAUUAGAGACUCGGGGGCGCUAUAUUGCCUUCAUCUAUUCUCAAACUUUAAAUAUGUGAGAAGCCUCGUGUUACUUCGGUGAACGCAGGCCUUUGAAUGAAUCAACUCUAGUGGGCCAUUUUUGGUAAGCAGAACUGGCGAUGCGGGAUGAACCGAACGCGAGGUUAAGGUGCCGGAAUACACGCUCAUCAGACACCACAAAAGGUGUUAGCACAUCUUGACAGCAGGACGGUGGCCAUGGAAGUCGGAACCCG